rnacentral:rRNA from 1 species
AACGGAUUAUUCUUUAUAGCUUGCUAUGGAGGAUAAUUAGUGGCAGACGGGUGAGUAAUGCAUAGGAAUCUACCUAGUAGUAUGGGAUAGCCACUAGAAAUGGUGGGUAAUACUGUAUAAUCCCUGCGGGGGAAAGAUUUAUCGCUAUUAGAUGAGCCUAUGUUAGAUUAGCUAGUUGGUAGGGUAAAGGCCUACCAAGGCGAUGAUCUAUAGCUGGUCUGAGAGGAUGAUCAGCCACACUGGAACUGAGAUACGGUCCAGACUCCUACGGGAGGCAGCAGUGGGGAAUAUUGGACAAUGGGCGCAAGCCUGAUCCAGCUAUGCCGCGUGAGUGAGGAAGGCCUUAGGGUUGUAAAACUCUUUCAGUAGGGAAGAUAAUGACGGUACCUACAGAAGAAGUCCCGGCAAACUCCGUGCCAGCAGCCGCGGUAAUACGGAGGGGGCAAGCGUUGUUCGGAAUUAUUGGGCGUAAAGGGCAUGUAGGCGGUUCGGUAAGUUAAAGGUGAAAUGCCAGGGCUUAACCCUGGAGCUGCUUUUAAUACUGCCAGACUAGAGUCCGGGAGAGGAU